GGGCUGUACCAAAUAGAGGGACAUCAGCAAUACCACAGGGCAGGAGAAUCCUAUCCAUCGAAUUAGCACUAACACAGAUCACUUACACAAGACUGUGAGUUCUCUAAAGAUCCAGAAAGCCAAGGUCCACGCUCUCUACAGAUGCUUGACUUCUAACAAAGCGGGACAAGAUUCACGAAACAUCCUUUUCCAUGUGACACUUCCACUCUGCCCCGGUGUUUUCCUGCAGUCGACCAGACCCAGCAGUAAAGUACCGGGAGGCGGUCGACCUGGGGACUCCUGGAG